rnacentral:sRNA from 1 species
AUAUCAAUAAGCGGAGGAAAAGAAACCAACAGGGAUUGCCCUAGUAACGGCGAGUGAAGCGGCAACAGCUCAAAUUUGAAAUCUGGCUCUUUCAGAGUCCGAGUUGUAAUUUGCAGAGGGCGCUUUGGCUUUGGCAGCGGUCCAAGUUCCUUGGAACAGGACGUCACAGAGGGUGAGAAUCCCGUACGUGGUCGCUAGCUAUUGCCGUGUAAAGCCCCUUCGACGAGUCGAGUUGUUUGGGAAUGCAGCUCUAAAUGGGAGGUAAAUUUCUUCUAAAGCUAAAUAUUGGCCAGAGACCGAUAGCGCACAAGUAGAGUGAUCGAAAGAUGAAAAGCACUUUGGAAAGAGAGUCAAACAGCACGUGAAAUUGUUGAAAGGGAAGCGCUUGCAGCCAGACUUGCUUGCAGUUGCUCAUCCGGGCUUUUGCCCGGUGCACUCUUCUGCAGGCAGGCCAGCAUCAGUUUGGGCGGUGGGAUAAAGGUCUCUGUCACGUACCUCUCUUCGGGGAGGCCUUAUAGGGGAGACGACAUACCACCAGCCUGGACUGAGGUCCGCGCAUCUGCUAGGAUGCUGGCGUAAUGGCUGUAAGCGGCCCGUCUUGAAACACGGACCAAGGAGUCUAACAUCUAUGCGAGUGUUUGGGUGUCAAGCCCGAGCGCGUAAUGAAAGUGAACGGAGGUGGGAACCCGCAAGGGCGCACCAUCGACCGAUCCUGAAGUUUACGGAAGGAUUUGAGUAAGAGCAUGGCUGUUGGGACCCGAAAGAUGGUGAACUAUGCUUGAAUAGGGUGAAGCCAGAGGAAACUCUGGUGGAGGCUCGCAGCGGUUCUGACGUGC